rnacentral:rRNA from 1 species
AUUGAACGCUGGCGGCAUGCCUUACACAUGCAAGUCGAACGGUAACAGGUCUUCGGAUGCUGACGAGUGGCGAACGGGUGAGUAAUACAUCGGAACGUGCCUAGUAGUGGGGGAUAACUACUCGAAAGAGUGGCUAAUACCGCAUGAGAUCUACGGAUGAAAGCAGGGGCUCGCAAGACCUUGUGCUACUAGAGCGGCCGAUGGCAGAUUAGGUAGUUGGUGGGAUAAAAGCUUACCAAGCCGACGAUCUGUAGCUGGUCUGAGAGGACGAUCAGCCACACUGGGACUGAGACACGGCCCAGACUCCUACGGGAGGCAGCAGUGGGGAAUUUUGGACAAUGGGCGCAAGCCUGAUCCGGCAAUGCCGCGUGCAGGAUGAAGGCCUUCGGGUUGUAAACUGCUUUUGUACGGAACGAAAAGCCCUGGGUUAAUACCCUGGGGUCAUGACGGUACCGUAAGAAUAAGCACCGGCUAACUACGUGCCAGCAGCCGCAGUAA